CAUAGCUAUUUUCUCCUUCUCCUCCAUUCAUGCGCAGAAUUUGCUCUACCUCCAUUGCUGCGUUAUCUGCUUCUCUAUCGGCUCAAUCCUGGCGACUAUGAUUUACCAAGGCCUUCAAAUUAAUAUCAUUAGUUCAAAUUCAUGGAAAUGUUUCUGGCAGCGAUAUGGAUUGACCAUUGACUGUGAUAUUAGUGACUGCUGCAAUUCUUUGACCGCAUCUUGGCACAAUUUCUAGCAAAUGGGUUUAAAAGUAUUACCCUACGACGAAGGAAGCCUACCGACUUGUUAACAGAUUGACUUAAAUCUUAAUUUCCUAUUUCCUGUUUGUUGACUGACUGAUAACUUGUCUCCAUCAAAUAACUGGUCUCCAUCAAUCUCUUCUAGAUCAAUUGACUGAAAAUUUUGUUCUCACUUAACAGAGGAAGCAAUUUCCCAAAUUUUGGAGAAUCGGGAUGCUUACUUUAUCAAAACAUAGAUAUAUAUAUAUAUAUUUUAAUUAAUAUGAGAUAAUAGGAAAAAGUGGUUACGCUGAGCUGGCUUUGGAUGUAUUCAUUUAACAAAACAUGGUAUAUUUAAACUUUUUGUAACAGUUGAUGAAGAUAUUUUCUUAAGGCGCGAAGGGUGUGUAAGAACCUUCCCCAACUGAACAACAGAUUUUGGUUAGAUUAAUUGAUGUUGGAGCAGCAAGGUGGAGUGAGCCCAAUACAGAGUCAGCAAGGCUCAAAAAAACUCAGCAAAGCCUAGAUUAGAGCGUGACGCUAUUCCCACCCCUCAAAAACUCUUAUCACAUCCCUCUUCUAUUUUAAUUACAAAAAUAUCCUCGCACAUUUAUUUAUUUUUAAAUAAAACCAAUUCGUGAGCCGUUCAUUCUUGGAUUUUUUUUUUUUUACCUUAUAUGUGGGUUGACAAAUAUUAGAGAAUUGACAACCAUUGGAUUUAAUCAAAUAGCUGAAAAUAAGAUUUUUUUAUGAUGCUGUAUUUAUUUUUACAGUAUUGAUAGUGGGACUAAUGUGGGCCCUUAGAUAUAAGAGUUUUAAUCUGAAUCAUUCAUUUAAUAUAAUGGAUAAUUAGAUAAUUAAUUAAAAUAUAGCAGGUAAAUUAUAGGUUGCAGGUAAAUAUUAAUUUUUUAAUUUUAAAUCAAUAUUAAUUUCCAAAAAAACCACCCACACCCCUAAGAUUUGCUAAAAUAAUUAUACAUGUUCCUUUAGUUUCAUAAAUAGUCACAUAGACCCUCUUAAUUUCGUAAAUGACUAUUAUACCUUUUGACUAAAUCAAUCUAAAUAAAUAUAAAUAUAGUAAUAGGAUAAAAAUAAUAAAUAAAAAUCAUAUGAUACAAAUAAAGUGUUACAAUAAAUAUAAUUGAUAAAAUAACAUGUACAAUAAAAAUUUUGUUAAUAUUAAAUUAUUAUUAGUCUAUCUUGACGAAUGAACUAAAAUCUAUUAAUCCAAAAAUUGAUCUUAAGAUUGAUAUUAAUAUAGACAUAAUUAAAUAAGAUAUUGUUAAUUUUAUAAAUUAUUGUGAAUGUUAGGUAUAAUUAAUUAAUUUUAUUAUUAUGUCAAGUAGAUUUUAAUAUUAGUAAAAAGAAUAUGACAAACUAAUAAUAAAAGAAUAUGAAAAAUAAUAAUGUUAAAAAUAAAAUUUUUAAAAUUAAAAAUAUUUUAUAAAAUUUUAUCUUAUGUUAUGUAUUAUAUUUUUUAAUUUAAGGAGUUUUGUAUGACCAUUUAAAUAAAAUUUAGAGGCGUGAGUGGUCUUUUUACUAUUAAUUUUGUAGCCUAUUUGAAGUACUAUAUCAUUUUACAUCAUACAUCACACUUAAGAUGUUGAUUUUAUUAAGGUGUUAUGUUAUUAAAAAUUAAACUUAGCAUUUAUAAUACUACAACUUUAAUGUAAAAUGUAAUAAAAAAAUAUAAAGACAUUUUCGAGUAGUCAAUUUUAGUUUUCUUUUACAAAAUAGUAUUAUAAAAGACAACUGGUAAAAUGUAAUAAAAAUGCUAUGGAAAAAAAGUUAGUAGAGGUGAUUCUCUUUAUUAAAACAUAUGACGUAAUACACAACGCACACAUAUUCAGUACNNNNNNNNNNNNNNNNNNNNNNNNNNNNNNNNNNNNNNNNNNNNNNNNNNNNNNNNNNNNNNNNNNNNNNNNNNNNNNNNNNNNNNNNNNNNNNNNNNNNNNNNNNNNNNNNNNNNNNNNNNNNNNNNNNNNNNNNNNNNNNNNNNNNNNNNNNNNNNNNNNNNNNNNNNNNNNNNNNNNNNNNNNNNNNNNNNNNNNNNNNNNNNNNNNNNNNNNNNNNNNNNNNNNNNNNNNNNNNNNNNNNNNNNNNNNNNNNNNNNNNNNNNNNNNNNNNNNNNNNNNNNNNNNNNNNNNNNNNNNNNNNNNNNNNNNNNNNNNNNNNNNNNNNNNNNNNNNNNNNNNNNNNNNNNNNNNNNNNNNNNNNNNNNNNNNNNNNNNNNNNNNNNNNNNNNNNNNNNNNNNNNNNNNNNNNNNNNNNNNNNNNNNNNNNNNNNNNNNNNNNNNNNNNNNNNNNNNNNNNNNNNNNNNNNNNNNNNNNNNNNNNNNNNNNNNNNNNNNNNNNNNNNNNNNNNNNNNNNNNNNNNNNNNNNNNNNNNNNNNNNNNNNNNNNNNNNNNNNNNNNNNNNNNNNNNNNNNNNNNNNNNNNNNNNNNNNNNNNNNNNNNNNNNNNNNNNNNNNNNNNNNNNNNNNNNNNNNNNNNNNNNNNNNNNNNNNNNNNNNNNNNNNNNNNNNNNNNNNNNNNNNNNNNNNNNNNNNNNNNNNNNNNNNNNNNNNNNNNNNNNNNNNNNNNNNNNNNNNNNNNNNNNNNNNNNNNNNNNNNNNNNNNNNNNNNNNNNNNNNNNNNNNNNNNNNNNNNNNNNNNNNNNNNNNNNNNNNNNNNNNNNNNNNNNNNNNNNNNNNNNNNNNNNNNNNNNNAUGUAUUAUGAAUUGAUAUGUGAAAUAUAAAUAUUAUUAAAAGUUAAUUUGCAGACUGAUGAAGUAAACCAUCCUUUAUGAACAUUUGAUACAUUAAUCUAAGGUCAAAUGAGAUAUAUCACAUGAUAUUUCAUAUAGUAGUCCAAUUUUCAACAUUUGCAUAUGGUUUUAUAAGCUAGUAAACCAAUAAAUAUACCAUGAGAAAUCAAAGGCUAUUCCAUGGCCAUGCAUUAGAAUAAAAUAAUCUAACAGUACAUACUAUAUCCGAUCGAUAGAUUUUGAAAUUAGUUUGAUUACAUGAUAAUAAUCGAGUCAUCUUAUAACAUUAAGGAUAUGAUUUAAGUAAUAUUUUAGCAAUUUUGAGUUUCGCAUUGAAUUUUCAAAUUAAUUAAAUGUUGAAACCCUUUCAUGUUUGGCCUGAAAUUACAACUUGAUAAAAUUACAAAAAACCAAUAAUGAAUGGCGUAGGAUACAUAGUAAAAUAAAUUUUAAAAUGUAUUUAAACGUACGUAUGAAUUUUGUGGAAUUAAACAAAAUAUGUUGUUCAAGUGAAAUUGUGAGAAUAUUUAAAAUUAUAAGGGUGGUCACUGAAAUUUCUCCCAAUUGAGCCAACCCCAUGAUAUAGACGGUUUUGUUUUGACAAAUACGAUUUGUUAGCCACUUUGACUGUUGGUAGAAUAAGUUCCGGCAAAACACAAUUCAAACUCAUCUUUGCAAAGAAUAAACAGUAUCUCAUCAAGGAUCAAAUCUAAGCGGAGUUUUUGUUCAAUCAGUCGGACUAAAUUCGAGUAGAGUUCUUAGUCAAUUAAUCAAGUUGUUCGGUUUUGAAACAAAUUUAUAUUCAAGGUAAAUCUGGGAGCUGUCAUUACAAAAAGCGAUGGAUAUUGAUGAACAAGGUUAGUACUGAUAUGUUCUUUGUAAUUUGAUAUUUAGAAUUUUUAUGAUUAUUUUGUUGUUGUGUAGAGAAAUGGUUAUGACGAGAUUUUGGCUAUGUAACCAUGUAAUGACCAAUGCUUUAAAAUCAAACACUUGUUCGAUUAUUUGUCCAAACCAAAAAAAAAAAGGCACGCAGAAACAUAAGAGAACUGAGAAUAUGAUGUCUGCCAGUCGUGCUUCUUGGAGAAAGAGGUUGAAAAAAAGAACUAAUACAGCAUUUAAGUUGGUUGUUUCGAUGCUUCUGAGCAGUUUGUAUUGUUUAAAUCAUAUCUUAAUAUAGAAAAAUUGAAAUUGAACAUUGUAAAAUUAUUUGAACUUCUAACAAAUAGAGCUUUCUAGGGGGAUAUAGCUUCUAAUUUUUUUCCUGAGGAAUUGAUAUCAUUUAAUUCAGAAACUUCUGGUCUUGUGUAGUUUGAAGACAGCUGUGACCUUUGUGCACUAAAUCCUGAAUAUCUCUAAGAUGAGAAGUCCGAAUUUGAUUCUGUAAAUUUCUUCCAUAACUAUAUUCAUUUAUCUAUCCAAACAUAUAUAUUAUGUAAUGUCAUAUAUCCUAGAUCAAUACAGUUAAAUCAUGGAAGUUGGCUGAUAAUCAGAGGCUUGGUUGCUUCAGUGAUUCUGAGCAGUCAGCAUUCUUUAAGCCAUAUCUUCAUGUAGAAACCUUCAAAUAGAAAACCGUAAAAUUAUUUGAACUCCUGAAAAAUAAAUAUUUCUAUAGAUAUAUAGUUUGUAAUUUUAUUUCUUGUUAAUUGAUAUCAGUUAAUUCAGAAACAUCGGGUCUUGUGUGGUUUCUAGACGGUUGUGACCUUUGUGCACUAAAUCGUAAAUAUCUUUAAGAAGCGAAGUCGAAAUUUGAUUGUGUAAAUUUCUUCCGUAACUAGACACAUUUAUCUAUCCAAAAAAAUAUAAUAGAAAUCUCAUAUAUUCUAGAUCAGUACAGUUUAAUCAUGCAAGUUUGCUGAUAAUCAUAGACUUGGUUGCUUCAGUGAUUUUGAGCAGUCAACAUUCUUUAAGCCAUAUCUUCAUGUAGAAAACUUCAAAUAAAAAACCGUAAAAUUAUUUGAACUCCUGAGGAAUAAAGCUUUCUGGACAUACAUAGUUUGUAAUCAUGCAAGUUUGCUGAUAACAAAAUAUUCAAUAUUGUUUUUGCAGUUAUCAACCAAAAUUCAAAAGAAGCAGAGUUUGACAUUCCUUCAUCACAUGACAUUCUUUCAACAGAUAGGGCAACCAUUCUGCCAAGUGUAGAUGAUUCCUCAUGUUCCAUUUUUUUUAAUGGUAAGCACCUGCAACAACUCACUAGUGAAGAUGUAAUUGGAAGUCAAUUUGAGACACUUAUAGAUGCUGAGAAUUUUUACAGUAAUUACUCGAAAGUAAUGGGCUUCAGCAUUCGUAAGAAUGAUAUAAGGUAUGAUAAUGAUGGUCAAACCAAUGUGAGACUUUGGGUUUGUAAUAGGGAGGGCGAGCGUGCUAAACAGUAAGUUGAAAGGAAAGAUAGAAUUCGGGAACCGAGGACUGUUACGAGAGUCAAAUGUCCAGUUGCUUUUAGAGUGAAGAUGAAUAAGAAGGUUGGUACUUGGGUUGUUAAUCAGUUUAUCCCUGAACACUCACAUGAGUUGGCAAUGAAUUAUGAGAUUAAGUUCCUUCGAUCCCAUCGAUCAGUUAAAGAUUGUGACAUGGCUCAAGCUACUGCGAUGAAAACUGUUGGUAUAAAGACUAGUCAAAUUAUGGAUUUUUUAGUCAAUCAAGCUGGGGGUUAUGACAAUGUGGGCUUCACACUGGAGGAUUUGUAUAAUUCAUUAGAUAUUGAACGUCGGUCUAUGAUGCUUGAAACAGAUUCAGAAUCUGCUCUGGCAUACUUAAAAGGAAAAGCUGAUAUGGAUCCAAAUUUCUUCUGUAAAUACACUGUAGAUGAGGAGAAUAGACUUUCAAACUUGUUUUGGGCUGAUUCUAUUUCUUGUUUAGAUUAUCACCACUUUGGGGAUGUGUUAGCUUUUGAUAGUACGUACAAGACAAAUGAAUAUGGUAAGCCAUUAGUCAUGUUAGUGGGAGUUAAUAAUCAUUAUGCAACAUGUUUUUUUGGAUGUGCAUUACUUGUGGAUGAGACAGUUGAGACAUAUAUGUGGGUGUUGGAAACAUUUUUGUCUGCCAUGAAUAAUAAAAAGCCUAUUUCUGUGGUGACUGAUGGAGAUCGAGCAAUGAGGAAAGCGAUUAAAAAGGUGAUUCCUGAAGCUCGUCAUCGUUUGUGUGUUUGGCAUCUACAGAGGAAUGCACAAUCUAAUGUACGUAAUAAACCUAAUUUUAUAAAAGUAUUUACAAAGUGUAUUUUUGAAUUUCUUACACCUGAAGAGUUUGAUAAAUUAUGGUGGAAUAUGGUGGAGGAAGAAGGUUUGCAAAAUAAUGAUUGGGUGAACAAAAUUUAUACAAAACGACAUAGAUGAGCAGAAACAUUCUUAUAGGGUCAUUUCUUUGCUGACAUGUGUACUACACAACGGUGCGAGGGAAUGAAUGCAUAUAUGAAUAGAUUUCUUCAACAGAAGUUAAAGUUGCAAAUCAAUCCAAAUCAAUCCCCAACCACAGUCAAAAUGGUCCAUUCAAGAUUGCUUGCAAGUUCCAAUCAUUGUGUGCUCCUUCGCCAAUUGACACAGAAAGCCGGUCUGUUGAAUUAUCUGUCAAGAUUCAUUUUAAGAAGAAAAUUUGAUAAUUUUUUCCCGCAAAAUUUUCAUAAAAGAUAUUGGAAUGGAUAUUUGACAUUUCAGAUUUUUAGUUAACGACAUACAGUCAUUCACUUGUAGGCUGAACUUAAAACACACACAAAAAAAAAAAGCAGACUAUUAUUUUUUGAAAGUUUUUAAUUGGAAGAGACCAUAACCUCAAAAGCUAACAAAACUUAAUGAGUAAUCCAAAUAAAAACUUUACAUCGAAUACAAAGGUCAAUUAAAGGGGACAAAAAAUAUUGAAAGUAACAAGACACAAAAUUUUCAUAAAGAGUAAUCCAAAAACUUAAAAACUAAAAAAGAAAAUUACGUAAUCCAAAUAAAAACUUUGCAUUGAAUAUAAAAUUCAAUUGAGGGGACAAAAAAAUUAAAAGUGACAAAAUACAAAUUACGUCCAAUACCAAAUUUAUUAAAUCUCUACUAGGCAGAUCAAUUGGAUUUUCUUCCUGGUUUCUUCAAAUAUUCUCUAGUACCAAUUACAGUUCUAACUUUAUUAAUUGAACGAUUUUUUUUUCUGAGAAGCAACUUUAGUUCUAACUUUACUAGUUGCAAUAACAUUCGUCUUAGGACCAUGGAAUGAUAGUGCUUUUUGUAUAACACUAUCUCUUACUUCAUUUGCAUCACCAUUUACAAGGAGUAGCGCAAGACGAAAUCUUUCUUCAUCCGAUUCAUACUGCAUAUAAUAGAAUUGAUAACAAUUUAAUAUUGAUUAAAGUAUUGUGCAAACUAAGAAAUAUAAAUUGUAUGAUUAAGUUACCUUAUAAGUUGGGAAUAACAUCUCACAUGGAGUCUCCAUAAACUUCAUCACAUACAAGCCACAAUCAUUUCCAUUUGGUUGAAUUGGCACAUUAUUUGGAUAUAAAAUGUCAAAGUCAGCGAAAUACCAAUCAGAAGGAAAGUUAAAGGCUAUAUCACGAAACAAGACUAGGUCCAAUGCAUGUAACUGCAAUAAUAAUAAUGAUAGUUAAUAUAUAUUGCAUCUAGUAAUUUCAUAUAAACAAAUAAAAAAUUUGAACUUACAUUUUGCUUAACGAUUUCUUGACGAUGAUUUGGUUCUAUUUCAGAAUUAGGCAAAGAAUCCCAAAUCUCAGCAGUCUUAUCUUUUAUAUUCAUUAUCACAAGAUACCAAUGUUUUGCAAGCCCAUCAUAAAGAGGAACAUAUAUCUGUGGAACAAUACAGAAAUUUUAUACUAAUCAUUACACACUUCAAAUGAUAAUAAUAAAACAUAUGAUAUUUUAGUAAAUAACUUUUUACUUUUUGAACAUAUGAUAAUAUUCCUGACCUUUUCACAUCUUUUGAGUGCACCCAUGUAACAUUCACAAAUGUUAUGUUUACGAACCGAAAUUUCGAUAUUUGAUCUAUCAAUGGUUGAGACACCUGACACAUUCGCCACGAUUUGCUACAAAAUUCAUAAAUUAAUAAUUAUAUGAAGAUGGUAAGAUAUAACUUUAAAAAAAAUUCUAAAUUUUUAGUAAAAACAUAUUAUACAUUUGUAAUAGCAAAAUAUAUAACAUACCCCAAAAAGAAUUGGUAAAAACCAAUUUCGAGUCUCAUAAUCUUGCUUCAAACUCUCCUUUCUAGUUAAGUACUCGGCAUAGCAACUUAUGAUCUAUGUAUAAAAUAAUCACAAUAUCAUUAUUAAAACAUUCACUACCAAAUGCAAAAUAAAUUAUAAAUUAAAUACAUAUAAUCUUAUUACGCUCUGAAUAUUACACACACACAGAGUAUACCUCAUCAAAUAUCCAAACAUUAGGAGCUAAAGAAGACAUUAAGAAGCGGGUAACAAUAUGUCGCUUUGUCAUUACAAUUUUCUCUCUGUAUAAAUUAUACACUCACAUUAAUAAGAAAUUAAAACAAAUAAGAACAUCAAAAUACAAACGUAUAAAAUAUGAUUAUAUUAAAUACUUCCAUACCUUUUAUCUAGUUGUUCAUGAAAAAUAUACUGUAAAAUAUACCAUUCUUCCUCCGAAAAAGAAGCUCCAUGUUUGGAUAAACCAAACUCCUUGUUGCGGCGGCCUUUUUUUUUGGUGAAAUUUUCAUAAGGAGAUUUUUUAUAACGACUGGGCUUUCGAGGACGCACCUUUUUAUCCUCAACUGCAUCUACUUCAACCGAUGAUACCAAAUCCACAAAAUCAAUUGCAUCCAUGGCUUUAUCCGACAUGCAUAAGAACAUGAAUUUUAUUUAUUUUUUUUAUUUAAUGAAUGUGCUAGUACAAAAAAUUUUUGAAAAAAAAUGUAGAAUAAUAGUUUGUUAUCAUACCUUUUUAACAACAUUGUUGAAGAUUUGGUUCUCUUUCAGUUUCCUAUAUGCAAAUAAGUUUUUCAAUGAUAAAUUUUCAUCACAUGCGUCUUCAAUCUUGUCCUUAAUCUCUGCGAUCUUCACCCCAAACUCAUCUCCCUUUCCCACGAAAUUUUGACCACUUGAUUCAUUUGUACAAUUUUGAACAUCUUUACUAGAAGAGUUCAUCUUUUCCUUCCAUGGGUAUGAUUGCAUAUGAGUUAUAUUAUGUUCAAGUGCUUCAACUACACUAUACAUUUUUUGUACCAAUGCAUAAGUAUCUAAAUUGUUCUUCUUCAGCUCACCAAAUUCAUACCUGACAGCGGCAAGAUUAAAAGUCAUCCCAUCAAUUUUUUCAUUAAGCUUUGUCAAUUCCUUCUCAUGGUUGCAAUUUCGAAAGUUUGCUUCACCCUCUCCGUUUGUUUUAAUGCUUUUAUGGAGCCCUCCAUCAUCUUUUUUUUCCAUCUGCAUUUUAAUGUUAAUAUUUAGUCAAUCAUGUAACAUCAAGUAUAUCUAUAAAAUUAUGAUACUAACAAAUAAAAUAUCAACAAACAAAAAUGAAGAUUUUAACAUCAAUAUUUUCAUAUUGGGCUUGUCUUUAAUUUUUAGAAUUUAAAGACCGACAUUUAAAUUUCAAUUGUAAGAUAUUAAUAGUCAGCUGAAUUCCCUCCUCAAAAUAAUAUAAAUUCGUAAAGUGCAACGGAAAGAUCUCUUGCAAGGUAGACAACUAGACUAGCCAAAUUCUGAAUGUUGAGAGUUUGAAAGAUUGAAUUUUCUCUUGUUGCCUUCAUUGAGAAAAUGACAGAGAAUUAAAAGAGAGAAAGAUCAUUCCCACCGCAUAAAGCCUAAGAGAGGCAAAAUUAUUAAUCUGACUCUAGAAUCUUCAGGUCUUCACAAAAAAACAUAUAACAAACUUGAAAAAAAAAUUUGUCCCUUCAGAUCCUAGAAGUAUUGUGCUUCUAAUCUUGUUUUGCAUGCUUCAGCUGUAGUAAUUAGUUCAUUUCCAUGUAAUCAAAAAAAAAAAAAAAACUACAUUCAUAUGUGGGCAAGAUCAUGCCAGUUUAACCUUUAGCGUCGCUGCUGGAGAUAAUCAAAUCAGGGCGGAGAAAAGGAGAAUGGAAUCAGAGGCUAAGAUUAAUAAGUGGGCCUCAGCUUGCUUUGCCCCUCUUUCUUAAACGAUUGGUGGUUAACUGCUGACUCAGCCAAGUCUUGGCUGCACUUGAUUCACCGAUUUAGGUUAUUUUGUCUUCUAUCUGAUGCAGCGAAGAAGCUUUGCUGCUUAACAUGCUGCAAUGCAACUUUAUCCUUUGAAGUUCAAACUUCAGGGCUGCGCACUUUAUGUAAUCCUAUGAAUAAAAAGAAUUUGUUUUCAAAUGUGAAAAAAGAAAAUGUAAGGUAGUAACUAAAUAUAUUAUAGCAUCAAAGCAAGAUUUGAUAUGAAUUUAGUACAACAAAGAACAUCAAAUCUGCGAUUCCUUGUCUAAUGUCACGAUCGAGCAAUAAAUUUAAAAGCCUACCUAUCAAAUAGACGUGGCAAUAAAUGGAGAAAAAGUUGAAUUAUAAGAACAAGUUUACGAUUUGACAUGGUUAAUCAUUCGUGAACUGAGACAGCAUUCAAGAAUCCAAUUUCAAUACAACAACAUAGGAGAUAAACAGAUGACGAAUUUUAUGAGAUAAAGAAGGAGGUUGAGUUUUAUUGUAUCUCUAUUUUCUUUCCUUUUAAAUUUAAAUUAGGUUUUGCAACCGGUUUGUUAACCGGUUAUAACAUUUUUGAAAUAAUUAAAUAUUUUCAUUAUUAAAAAUAAUGUGUACCGUUGAUUACAUCUAAUGGUACAAAUUUGUUACACUAUUAAUACCGUAAACAAAAUUACGGCACCAUAGAGGGACCCCUGAAAAUAUAAUAAAUAGUAAUAGAGGAGUUGUGGGAAACUUUCUCCAUUGUCUAAUGUCUGUUAACUUAUCACAUAAGAUAACAAUGACCUUCGUUCUCCCCUCCUAAUAGGUGUUUGUCAGCCCUAGUGUACACUAAAUCUUGAUUUUUUUCUCGAUAAAUUAUCCGAACUUUCUCUCUCUAUCAACUUAUAAUUGAGCACUUUCCAUAUUACUAAAAACUUUGAUUCAGAUCAUUUUCCUUUAUUUAUAUUUCUCAACAAAAUCUCGAGGAACUUGACUUUUUCUCUCAAAAAAAAAAAUUUAACAUUUGCCCUUCAAGCAAUUUUUUUAAAAUUCAAUGCACUUUCUUAUGUAAAUUGUAAUAAUUUAUAAUUCAAUUUAAAUUAUUUCUCAUAAUCUAAAAUCAUUUCAGCACUUUUUUCUACAGGUAUUUAAAACAUAAUCAAAAUCCUUGUAUUUUUAUGACAAUGAAAAAUGAAGUAGGGUUUAGGAAGAUAAUUUUUUUAAUUUUAAUAAAAUAAUUUGUAAGGUCAAAAUUGUAAAGAUAAAAUAAUAUGAGGUUUUAAAAGAUAUUUAAACGGGUGUUAAAAGCUCAACUCUCAAUUGAACAAGCAUAGUUAAAUUCAACAAGCCCACACAGGUCCAACAAAAUUCCAAUGUCAAAGGGAUGAGAACAGCUAUUAAAUUGGAAGAAGCGCUAACCAAACUGUACAUAUAUUAAAACGACUUACUCCUCUCUCGGACUUAUUUAGGGGUUGAUUGAAGAAUCAAAAUCGGUGUAAUUCAAUUAUUCAUUUUUUUCUUUUCUUUACACCUUAUGUUGGAGAAGUAAGGCAAGUUAUUAAAAGAGAAGGAUCCUUCAAGUAGCCAAUUAUUUUGGAAGUGCAAGCAUGGAUGAUUUGUUCCAUCGAUAUAUGGUUAAAAUUUAUGAGAAAUUAGAAAUGGGGAUAAGGAGUUUACACAAAUUUGCUCAUUUUCCUUGAUAAAUAAAUGAAUUAUGUUUUUGUUACACGUCCUUUAUUUUGUUCCGGUUAAUUUCUUUUGCUUGUUUCUUUUAUGCUUUGAAUAAGUCUUGCUAGCUAUUGAAUAAAUUAGAGUCCAAGUUGUUUAUUUAGCUAAAUUGUUGGUACGUGCCUAGUGUUACGGAAAGACAGUUGUAUUUCCCAUUAUUUCGGAAAGACAGUUGUAUUUCCCAUUAUUUAAGUUGAUGGAAUAAUACUUCAGGGUAAGAAUGGUAAUGGGGUGGGGGAAGAUCUACCUCAAUCCCCACCUCAUUCUCCAAUAAAUUUAAUGGGGUGGAGAUGAAGAAUCCCAUGUGGAGAAUGAUUUUGGAAUGUUUGAAAGGCUUGGAUUGUAAUUAGGUAAUUAACUCAACUUAUUAAAGAUGAUAUUGUCAUACCACAUUCAUAAUAUUUCAUUUUGAUAGAUAUUUAUGAUUUGUAAAAUAAGUUGAAUUGAUUAGGGGCCAUAUGAACUUUUUAUUAUAAAGUACCUUAAUUUAUUAACUUUUUAAAUUUAGAUAUGAUAAGUAUUGUAGUCCAUUUGAGUUUGGAUCUAAAUAUUUUUAGUUUAUACUUGAGGGGAGAAUAUGUAAUUUUUUCUGAUUUUUGUUUCACAAUUAAUUUAGCUGUGAUCAUUGUACCAAAUCAAAUAAUAAAAAAAGAAAUCAUGGGUUUAAAUUAAAAUAAAAAAAGGCAUGGGGGUGAUUAUUUGUGUGAAGAAGGAAAAAAAACAGUGAUAGACAAGGGAAAGAGAGACAUAUUAUAGAGUUAACAUCUGUUAGUUGCUUAUUAGUUAUUCCAUUUUAGUUAGCCACUAAUUCUAUAUAUUUUGAUGUCCAUGAAGAAAAAUUAAAAAUAAAUUAAAUCCUAUCCCUAAAUACAUUUAAAGGAAAAAUGUCAUAAUCUCUUACAAAUCUUGGCAAAAAUGAGAUUAAGAAAGAAUCCGAAUGAAAUUAAUCUUAUUUUAUGGGUUUUAAUUUGUUAGUUAAUUAAGCAGACCAAAUCAAGUCGAUGGGACAAUAUGAAGAUUGAAUGAAUCAUCUAGUAGGUACGGAGAUUUUAUUUUUAAUUUUAAAUACACACAAUGAAUGAAUAUGCUUGACUUGUUAAAGAUUAUUUCUUGAAUAAGUGAUAUUCAUUAUUAGUGAUAAUAAUGGGUGAUUAGUGUUAAAAAUUGUAUGUUUGUUAAGGGGUAAAAAUGUUAUUUUGUGCUAUUAUUGUAAUUUAUAUUUGUAAUUAUGUAACAUAUUGUGAAUUUCUAAUUAUUUUUCUAAGUAUUUGAUUUUGUGUAUUUUUGUGUGUUUAUUAGGUAAAAAUAAUAAUUUCAUGCAAUUGGAGGCUCCAAACAAAUGUGCAGAUGUCAAAUUUAGAUUUUAGAAGUCUGAGAAAUUAUGUUAUUGUUGAGGAGGAUCCAAGACUUUUGUUGUAAACUUUUAAGUUUUCACCACGGUAAAUGUGGUAAUUGUAAAGCUGUAAGUUUUUAUCAUAUUAGGUAUAGUAAUUAUUGGUGGAAUGUGUUGAAUGUGUUUGAGUGGAUUACAUUAGGUUUACAUUUUAUUAGUGGGACAAAUGUAAGGCUAAGAUGUAAUUAUAUUUACUUAUUUAUGUGGUGUGGAUUUACUAUGUAUUAGUAUAAAUAGAGAGGGGAGGGGGAGGGACACACCUUUUCACACCUUCUCUUCUCUUCUCUUCUUUCCCCCUAAAUUCUUCUUCUUAUCUCUCUUUGUUAUAUAUUUUCAAUCAAUAAAAUUAGUUUUAUUUCAAUUUUCAAGUUCUAUUUUUUUAAUUAUGCAUUUUUCAAUUUUAAUAAUUUCCUUUAUUUUAAAAAUGUUUAGCUCAAUAUUAGUAGUUAGGGGAAGGUGAAACUCUUAGUAAAAAUAUGGUUUAAUCAAAUUCUAUUUUUAAUUGUACAAAUUAAAUUUUUUUCUAUUAAUUUUAUCCAUAAUUUAUAUUUUGAAAUUUUGAUUUAUUGUAGACAAACAUGGAAGUUUGGCACGAUGAAUUCUUAAUAUCUUCGUAUAAAGUAUGGUAAAAUGGUAUUUUGAUUUAUUGUAGACAAAUUAAGUUUUGGCACAUUAAGUUCUUAAUCCAUAAUAAAAUAAAUGGGAAAAUAAUUUUAAUUUAUACAAUUAAUCUUUUGGGAAAUAAAAUAAAAAAAAAUUUGUUAAAUUGCAUUUAUUAUUAGGAGUGGAUCCAUAAUCCUAACUAACUCAAUUUCAUAAUUUUUCUAAAAUUAAGUUGCAUAUUUUUAAUUUUUAAUUUUAUUUUUUUGAUAAACUUAAAUAAACAGAUUAAAUCCUUUUUUUGUGGAUCGAUCUCGGACUCACCGAGUUAUAAUAUAACAAGAUACUCUUAGAAAUCACUUUUAAGUUGUGUCAAAGUUUUGGCCCCAUUGCCGGGAGAUGUAUUUAUUUUGUUUUAUUUUUUCUUUUUUUUCUUUUACUUUUAUUGUAAAUUUUCUUUUACCCCCUUUUUCUUUUCUUAAAUUCUGUUCUAUCCCGAAAUCUUUCAUAAUUUCAUUUGUACUUUAAAAAAAUCUCGUUUCUGGCUCAUUCUUCUCAUAAUUUCGGUUUGACAACAAAAUCACAAAAAAUUUUUGAAUAGGUCCCUUGCCAAAAUUUCCCAUAAAUCUCAAAUUCGGACAUAUAACUUGAGCUUUCUUGAAACAUAACUGGAUUUCUUUGGACCUAAUUUGGACUCAAUAAAAAGAAUUUUGACUUUAAAAAUUACAAGACCCAUUAAUUUGAAUUAAUCACUUAAUCGGUUGGUAAUUUUUAAAAUUUGAAAAAAAAAGAGCCUACACUUUAAUUAUUUCUUUUCUUUUUUUCUUUUAUUUAUUUCUGUAAUUUAAUUUUUGCAUUUAUUUUAUUUUUGGUUUUUACUUUGUUUAUAUGUUUGGUUUAUUGCCUAUUUAGUUAUUUUAAUUUUAGUUAAUUAAUUUUUAGUUUUUUUUUAUUUUUGUCUUGUGUUUUUUUUGUACAUUUAUCUUGUUUAUUUAAUUUUCAUUUUGUUUUUAAUUUGUGUAAUUUUCAUUUUUUUUUGUUUUGUUAGUCAUUUGUUUGUGUAUCAUCUUUACAACAUAAUUUUACACUCACACAUCAUCAUUGCAUGAGACGUUAGUCUCGGACUUCAAGUGACAGGUUAAUUUGUAGAUCUUAAUCACCACCACCAAUCAUAGACGAGAUCCAAGAUGAAAACAUUUUAGGCCAACUUAAUCCUCUAGUUGAUCAGGGUGACAACCAAUCUUAACGUGAUCAGAAUCAACCAAGAACUUUGAGAGAUUACAUGAAUCCAACGAGAACCGGAGCACCAUCAUGUAUAGUAUUUCCUCUAGAAGCAUUUUGAUUCAACUUCAAACCAGGUAUUAUCCAACUUUACCAACAUUUCAUGGUUAAGAAUCUGAGAAUCCAUACUUGCAUCUAAGAGAUUUUGAGGAAGUUUGUAAUACAUACACAUACCAAAAUUGUAGCAUGAACAUAUUUAGAUUAAAACUUUUUCCCUUUUCAUUAAAAGAUAAACCUAAAACUUGGCUACAAAACCUUAGAUCUGGAUCAAUAAGAACUUGAAAUAAUAUGCAAGAAUAGUUUUUGAAAAAAUUCUUCCCAUCUCACAAAACCAAUUCUUUUAAAAGGCAAAUCACUUAUUUAACUAAAAAAAAAAAAAGAAACAUUGUACCAAUGUUGGGAUAGAUUUAAAGAAUUGCUUAACAUAUGUCCAUAACAUGGUUUCGAAACUUGGCGAUUGAUCACUUAUUUCUACGAGGGCUUAACACCACAAAGUAGACAAGUUGUAAAAAUGAUGUGUAAUGGUGAAUUUAGAGAGAAAAAUAUGAAGAUGCACUAGAUUACCUUGACCAAUUAGUUGAAAAUGCACAACAUUAAGAUAUUGUUGGAACAUUUGAAUUGACUAAUAAACCACAACCAUCUCCAUCUAGUGGAAGAAUCUAUAACUUAGGGAAAAUCAUGAUUUACAAGCAAAAUUUGCAUUCCUAGUUAGGCAGGUUGAAGCUUUGAAAAAUAAAAAAAGUGAUCAAAUAAAAUCUAUUCAAGAAAUUGCAUGUGAUGUUUGUAGUUAUAAUGAUCAUUUCAGUCAUUAUUGUCCUACUCUGCCUGCACUCAAAGAAUGUUUGCAUGAUCAAGCUAAUGCCAUCAAUACUUUUAACAAACUAAACCCAUAUUCACAGAUUUAUAAUCUUGGUUGGAGAAAUCAUCCAAAUUUUACUUGGAAGAAUAAUAAUAAUACACAAUCUUCACAAGCACCACCUCCACAAAAUUUUCAAAAUACUUAGCCUUAUGCACCAUAUAUUCCACCACCAUGGAACAAUUUGGAAGAUACAAUGCAUUCACUGAUUAGAAAGCAAGAUGCUAUUAAUAAUAAAAAUGCACAAACCUUUUUUGUUUUGAAAGAUACUCUUGCUAAAAUUGCUUCUGAACUCACAAUUCAAGAAAAAGGAAAAUUUUCAGCUCAACCACAACCAUGUCCUAAAAUUCAAAAUUCACCCAUGGACUAAGUCAAGUCAAUUAUAACUCUUCGUAGUGGUAAGGUUAUUGAUCGGCCUAUUCCCAAACCUUGUAAAGAUAGCAACAAUGAAAAUUCAAAGGGUAAUGAAGAACUAAAUAAACUUACACCUAGUGAAGAAAUAACUAUUGUUCCAUCUGAACCAUUAUUUCCGCAUGCAUUGAAUAAACUAAGGAAAUCAAAUCACUCUUAUGAAAUUUAUGAAAUCUUUAAGCAAGUGAAAGUCAAUAUUCCUCUGUUAGAUGCAAUCAAGCAGGUACCUUCAUAUGUAAAAUUUUUAAAGGACUUAUGCACUAUUAAAAGGAAAUUGAAGGUAAGAAAAAGUCAUUUAAUGACUGAACAGGUAAGUACCAUUUUGUCUACUAAUAAUAAGUUGAAAUAUAAAGAUCUUGAUUGUCCUACUAUUUCCUGUAUCAUUGGAGAUCACAAAAUUGAGCAUGCUUUGUUAGACAUUGGUGCUAGUGUUAAUUUGCUUCCAUAUUCAGUUUAUCUUCAACUUAAUCUUGGUGAGUUAAAAUCAACUUCAACUAUACUUUUACUUGCCGAUAGAUCAGUAAAGUACCAAAAGGAAUAAUGGAAGAUGUUUUAGUACAAGUUGAUAAAUUCAUAUACCGUGUGGAUUUUAUUAUUUUAGAAAUUGAACUUGUUGUAAAUAAUUAUAAACCAAUUCUUGUAAUUUUGAGUCGAGCAUUUUUAACAACUGCUAAUUCUUUGAUUAAUUGUAUGAAUGGUUUAAUGAAUUUUUCAUUUGGAAAUAUGACUCUGGAAUUGAAUGUUUUCAACAUGUGUAGGCAACCUAAUGAAGAAAAUGAGAAUGAAGAUGAAAUUAAUGAACAAAAGGAAUUGCUUGAAUAUUGUAUAGAGGAGAAUAUUCAAAAAGGGAGUUUUUAUGAACUUAGUGAUAUUUGUUUAGUUAAUUUGAUUGAAUCAAAUAAACAACUUCUAAUAUAAAUUUGUUGUUUGAUUCUUGUCAGACUUUGCAAAAUGAUGAUGGGAAACCAAAUAUAAAUUUGUUGUUUGUGAUUUAUUAUGCGAGUAAGACUUUGGAUAGUACUCAAAUGAAUUAUUUGACAACUGAAAAAGAAUUACUUGUUGUGGUGUUUGUAUUAAACAAAUUUUGUUAAUAUUUACUUGGUUCUAAAACUGUUGUUUUUACUAAUCACGCUAUUGUGAGAUAUUUGAUGACUAAACAUGAUGCCAAACCAAGACUAAUUCAUUGGAUUUUGUUACUUCAAGAAUUUGACCUCACCAUCAAAGAUAAAAAGAGUGCCAAAAAUAUUGUUGCUGAUCAUUUAUCAAGACUCACAUAUGAAAUCUGCACUGAUAUAACACCCAUUAAUAAUUCAUUUCCUGAUGAAUGUUUAUUAUAUGUUACUUCAAUACCAUGGUAUGCUAACAUUGUUAAUUUUUUUGUUACAGGUAAAAUGUCUUCGCAAUAGAAUAGUCAAGAGAAGAAGAAAUUUUUGGUUGAAGUAAAGAAAUUUUAUUUGGAUGAUCAUUAUUUGUUCAAAUAUUGCCCUGAUUAGAUUUUUCGAUGAUGCAUUCCUGAUAAUGAGGUAAGUAGUGUCAUUAAUUUUUGUCAUUCUGAAGCAUGUGGUGAACACUUUUCUUCAAGAAAAACUACAGUUAAAAUUUUACAAUGUGGAUUUUAUUGGCCUACCAUAUUCAAAGACACAUAUGAAUUUUGCAAAACUUGUGAAAAUUGUCAAAAAUUAGGAUCAAUUACUAAAAGAAACAUGAUGCCCUUAAAUCCCAUACUUGAGGUUGAAAUAUUUGACUAUUAGAGAAUUGCUUUCAUGGGUCCAUUUCCACUAUCUUUUGGAUUUGUGUAUAUAUUACACUACAAGAAAACAUGCAAUAGAUGACAAGAAAUAACCGUCAUAAAGAGGGGUGCAUGACAGACAAAAUAUAUGUAAUCUAUGUCACUGUCAUUAAUUUAUGACAGAAUUUUUCCCGUCAUGAGUUUAUGAUAGCUGUUAAAAGUCAUACACGCGUCACACUACAUUUUAGUGGGAAAUCAAAACUAUUUAAAUAUUUAGGAAUUUUUUGAAUUUUUUGGCGGGAAAAUUAGUAUUAUUUCUAUUAAAUUAUUUUAAAAUAUUUUUAAUAUUGUAAAUUUUAUUAUUAUUUUUACUGACUUAAUAGUAUAUUUAUUUAUUAUUAUUAUUUAACAAAUUCUAUAAAUUUGUUUUUAUAAAUAAAAUUGAUCAAUAUAAAAUAAAUACAAAAUAUAAUACUAGUAAUUAAAAAUCCAAUAAAUAAAAUACAUGGAAUUUUAUAUAUAUUCAAACUACAGUUAAAUACAAACUAUGUCACCAAAGCAUCUAAACUACAUCAAUCCCAAAUUUUCAAAAGAUAUCCUAAAAUAAGUAUUCACCAACAUCAAAAUACUUGUACAAAAAAUCAAAGUCCACCAAAUUCCAGUGGUAAAUCACUUGUAGAGUCUAAGUAGUAAGAGGCCAGCAAUUCGUCUCAGUUCCUUCAAUCACCACCAUUAUUUUUAUUUACCCUUCAGAUUGUUGUUGUUGCCUCUCCAUUCGCUUAGCAUGCCCUUAAUUGUAGUAUCUACCUAUCCCUUUAUAUGCAGCCCUGGAUUAUAGCAACAUGUAGAAAACAAUGUUUAACAAGCAUUUUACUAUUCUCUAAGGGGGCAAAAAAAAUAUUUUACUAUUUUCUAAUCAAAGAACCUAUAGCAAGUAGAAUAGAUUUAAAAACUAAGAAUCAACAUAAACAUCUUUCACUAGUAUUCACAUAAAUAUUUAUAUAACCUUAAGCAUCCAGGAACCAAAAGCAAUUUACAUGUUGCACUUAUCAAAUGUACAAUAGAAUAGAGAAAAGGAGAAGAAUUACAAGCAUAAAAAAAAAGGAAAAAGUACAAAAGUGAAGAUUUCAGUGAGAGAAAGAAUUGUCCUCAGUGUAGUUUACUUCUUUAUCAGCCAAUACACAACAGUAAAGGAAACUCAUACUUGGAUGUCAUAAGAAAGACAAAAAUCAUCUAAAAAGCUAUUUGUAUUAUAGAUUUUGUUGGAUAAUAAGGCCAUAAGGUUGAUAACAAAUUUAGGUCUCUAAUGGAAAAGAAACUAUUAUCAAAUUCUCUAAUUUUCCUCUGCAGAAAAGGGGCAUAACAGGACUGAUCCAUUUACAAUUCCAAUCAUAUUAAUAGAUUUUAUUUACCAACUAUCUUUGUGACUUAAAAUAGUCUACAAAACACCAUUAAGAAUACCUAGAAAGGAAUUAACAAUUUUGAAACUAACACCAUACCUGCAGUCAAGAGCCUUGCAGUCAUAUUCCUUACAAAAGUAAUACAGGUAUGGAGUUAUUUGCACAAAACAAACUUGUGCAAUGGUAAACCUCAUAAGCCUGAGAAAUGGGUAUAUCACUACAACAUCAAGAAUAGAUCUAGUUUCUAUGCAUUAAAGUUUCUCACCAAAUAGAGACAUAAGAACAUGGAAGAUUGCAUCUCAUCUGAAACAUACUAAACUAGUACAAUAUACAAUUUGAAAGUAAAAAUAAGAAAAUCAUGUUGAAGGAGACAAGUUUUAUUUUCAUACUCUAGAUCACCUCAGAAUUGCAUGAGCCCUAUUGUAACUUUCCUAAGAAGCCCAAAAUGGAACACCUGAUUAAUUCUUUAAUUAAUAAUCUAUAAUAACCAUAUAAGCUAACAAAAAUUCUACACAUACAUGACUGCUAAAGGACUUUAUAUAAAAAAUAAAGUUAAAAAUGUCGCACCAACAGUUUAUGCAGGGCUUCACAAAAAUGAGUUCUAGACCUUCACCAAACAAUUGUCAUUUUUCCUUAAAUGGUUUGCCUAAGAUCACGAACCCAAGGCUAUAAUUUGACAACAGAGAAUUAAGUUUUCAAUUCGAAGCAUCAAAAAUAUAAACUAACAAAAUUAUAUCUCGUUUAAAUAUCAAUAACAUGUUUUGAAGUAUACAAUUGCAAGCCAAGAAGAAAUAAAUAACCAAAAAAAGAGUAAUGCCUUAGUUAUGAGUUCAAUCUAUAGAACAAACUGAUACCUAGGGAAACAUCUCCAUUAAGCACCGAUAGACUGCAUUGAAACCUAUCUUACAGAGCUAUUGAUAUGCAGAAAUUAAAUUACAAGAAAAUUAACUAAUUCCAAUAGCCAAACGCAUUAGGUAAAAAUCGUAUUUGGUAAAUAAAAAAUCAAACAAAAACUUGCGUAUAAAAGUUCCAAAAUCAUAAGGGUAUAAUUCAACAACAAAUAAGCACAAUUACGAUAAGCAGUUUAACUCUAAACAAACCCAAAAAAAAAGAAACACUUAAUUUAACCCAGCUUAGUCGCUAAGAAAAUGCCAAACCAAAGAAAAAAAAAUCGUUUCAAUUACUUGUGAUUAUAAUUUCCUUUUGGGUGUUUUUAAAGUGAGGAAGAAUAUGAAAGGAACAGACUUUUCAAUAUUCAGAGAGAUGUAGUGUGAAAAGAACAUAUCUGCAACUCCUUCGGUAUCUCGUUUCGCAAGUGAUGUUGGUGAAGAAGGAGAAUAACGACCGUGGAAAGCAUGAGAGGAAAAUUCUAGAAGGCCGUUGAGGAACGAUAUUGAUUUUGGCGGGAGACUAACAGUGGUGGUAAAGCAACGACGGCUGUCUGGGCUAAAGCUUGACGUGAUGGUAGAGGAGCGACAACGAUGACUAAGAUGAAUGGCGGCAACAAGUCAGCGACGUACAUAAUGGUAGCCCGUUUGGUAGUCGGUGGCUGAAGCUUGAUGAUGGCAGAGCAGUGGCAGCAGUGAAAUCGAAGAGCAGCAGGGGAGUGGCAGCAAUAGUGUGUUUAAUUAGGUUAGACUUAGGGUUCACUUUUUCAUUUUAUACUUUAGAAAUAUAGUGUAAUUGUUCACAUAUUAAGUUACCAAUUAUAACUCGACACAUGGUUAAGUAAAAAAUAAUAAUUUGUGAUAAAAAAUAAUUCUACCAUAAAACUAUCAUUAAUUCAUGAUAAAAAAUAAUUCUAUCACAAAGCCAUCAUUAAUUUAUGAUCGAUUGAAAAUUAUGUCACAAGUCUAUCAUAAUUUUAUGAUAUACCCAGAAUUUGUCAUAAAUUGUCUGUCAUCUAUUAGCAGUUUUCUUGUAGUGUUAGUUAUAAUUGAUUAUGUCUUAAAAUGGUUGAAGCAAUGUCUUGUAGAAAUAAUGAUAGUAAAACUGUCAUUAAAUUUUGGGAAAUUAUCAGCCAUAUACCCUUAAAUGACACCAGUAUCAAAUGUGCUACAACACUUUUCCCUUAUAUCACUCGUAUACCCUAAGUUGACAAAAGAGUUCUGGCGUCCACCUUUCCGUUUACUACCGUUAAGAACUUAACAGAAUUUGAGCAAAAUGAUUAUUUUAUCCUUUAAACUCAAAAUGAGGUAAAAAAAUAAAUUUACCUUGAAAAUUAAUGUAAAUUUUCAAUACACAAUUUUUUUUAUUUUGUUAUUAACAAUACAUUUUUUUAUUAAAAAAAUAUGAAUUAUUAAUGGUACAUAUUAUUAACAAUUAUCCAUAAAAAAUAUUCAUCUUAUACCAUAAAAAAUUAUUAACAACAUAUUAUUUACAAUUAUACAUAUUAUAUCAUAAAAAAUUCAAGUUUGAGCUUGGAGGGGUAGAUCUUCAAUAAUUUAGGUUAAAUUUUGAAGGAGUAAAUUCGGUUGUAAAGUAGCUUUUUUUUUAGCAAUUAUUAACAAUUAUCCGAUAAAUGGGGUGACAUGUCAUUUUUAUCAAAAUAUAUCAUAUGACAUGUCAUUUUUUACUAGAUAAAUGGGAUGACAUGUCAUUUUUUUAAAAAGACUAGAUUACCCUUAUGAUGUCAGCGCUCACAAACGGAUUGGUGGACGGCAGAAGUGUUUUAUCAACUUAGGGUAUACGAGUGAUACACUUGAAAAAUGUUGUAGCACGUUUGAUACUGGUGUCAUUUAAGGGUAUAUGACUGAUAAUUUCCCUUAAAUUUUUAAGAGAAAAUAUUCUAAGUUGAUUUGGAAUCACUCGAGGUAUUAUUAGUGAUGGAGGUAAAUAUUUUUGUAAUAAGUCAUUUGAUUCUUUAAUGAAAAAUAUAGAAUUAGGCAUAAAAUUACUACAUGUUAUCAUCCUCAAACAAAUGGUCAAGUUGAAUUAGCAAAUAUGGAGAUAAAACAAAUUUAAAAAAAAACAGUUAACCCAAACCGAAAAGACUGGUCUUUUCGACUGACUAAUGCGCUUUGGGGUUACUGUACUGCAUUUAAAACGUCUUUAGGAAUGUCAUCCUAUUGGCUAGUUUAUGGUAAACCUUGUCACUUACCUGUUGAACUUGAGCAUAAAUCAUUUUGGACUAUUAAAGCUUUUAAUUCAAAUUUAGAUGAUCUGGUAAUAUGCAAAAAUUACAAUUGAAUGAACUUGAGGAAUUAAGAAAUGAUGCAUAUGAAAAUUCAAGAAUUAUUAAGGCUCUUACAAAAAUUUUUCAUGGUAAAAGAAUUUUUCGAAAAACAUUUGAAAUUGAUCAAAAAGUAUUGCUUUAUAAUUCUCGUCUUCAUUUGUUUCUAGGAAAGUUAAAGUCAAAGUGGAGUAGCCUAUUUAUUGUAAAAAAUGUAUAUUCACAUGGAGCUGUAGAAAUUGAGAAUCUAAAAAAUAGUGUUACAUUUAAAGUUAAUGGUCAAAGAAUAAAGCCCUAUCUAGAAUACCAACCAUGUGAAGCAAGCACCCAAAUAAAUUUGAGUGAUCCACCAAAUCUUGAUUAAGUUUUUAAUGAGUAUUUUAACUUUUCAUUGUUGUUUUACCGUUGAAUUGUCGGUUGUCUUGAAUGAUAUGCGUUGUGAUGUUUCUUGCUUAAAGUGUGUUUAAUAAUUAUUUUUUUCUUCAUUAUACAUCAUGAGUACCUCAAUAAGGAAGAUUCUGUUCAGACAUCUUAAAAACCUUUUGCGAAUAAAAUUUCGCUUGAGAGGCUAGAUACAAAGGUGUAAAUCAUAUCUAAUUUAGGAACGACAACCACCAACAUUAGUGGCCUACGUUUAGGAUCAAGAAAGACAACUCAGAGAAAUAGAGCGAGGUAUAUAUGAAUUUCAAUUGGAGCUUGAGGUUAACUCAAUGAGAGGACGAAUGUAAAUUCAUUUUCCUUUUUACAUUAUGUUUUUCUUUUGUUUGUUCGCUUUCACGUUUGAUUUGAUUUUGCAAAUUUGAUUUUGGUGUGUUUUGAUUUAUUUUCCCGUAUAAAUGGCAGAUAACGGUACUCCGUGACUUCUUAAGUCGGUAUUCUUAGUUUCCCACAAUAAUUGAGAUCUCAAAAUCAAGUAUGGAAGAAAUACAACAUAAAUUGCAAAACAUUUUCCUUUUCUCCCUCAAAAUGCACUAAAAACAAAUUUACAAAGCUUGUUAAGUCCAUUAUUUAUAGAGUCGGCAUUUUAUGGUAAGUCUAGUUAAAUUGGAAGUUUAUUUCUUGAAUAUCUUGUAAUAGGGAUUAAUUUAUUAAUUCCCUAAUUUAGUGAGAUUCCAAUUUAUUAGGAAUAUUUGUUUCCUAAUUUAAUUAGAUGUCUAAUUUAGAAAGUCAAUUAAUGAUUGGAUUUUAUAAUUGGCGCAUGAGAUCUGUUUAGAGCAAGAAGUUGGUUCAAAUAGAAAGUUCAUUAAAUGCUCUAGAUAUUUCUUGGAAGACAAGUAAGGCAAGAAGAUAAGAUUUAUUCCUAUUCAGAUUCAUGGGAAUUAUAAGAUGAAAGAAACCUUAUUUGGAAAGAAUCCAAAUCUUUUAAGACUUUCUAUUUUGGUGAAACCCUAGUACCUAUAUAAAGAGAGGUAUUUCACAAUUGAAGGUAUCACACAACACAGAGCAUAAAGCAGAGAAGCAAAAUUUGGCCUCCUCCCUAGAGAAUUCGGAUUUUGCGCAUCAUGUUGUGUUGAUUUGUUUUCUUAUCUUCUUUCCAUCUCUGUGGAGAGUUUAUGUGGAUUUUGGAUCACUAGACAUUGUAGAAUUGAAAAAUUGCUAUUGAUCAUUUUGCGAAGUGCCUUGAGGAUCGUGGAUCAAGAGGGGUAGCAAUUAUUCAAGAGAAGCAGAUUCAAUCUGAGGUUGAGUAAACUAUAUGGUGAUAAACUAUAAGUGAGAGUCUUAAGUUUUGUAAAUUCAUAGGUUGUAAUAUUUCAACUUAGUGAAUUAUUUUUCAUUUGGGCUUGGCCUCAUGGAUAUAAGAUUAAUUAAUCUAAACCAUAUAAAAAUCUCUGUGUUAUUUAUUUUUUGUAUUUUAUUGUGUUUUUGAAAAAUUAAUAUUUUUUAUACGGAUGAACAGUAAUCGUGAACAGUAACUGUGAACCGUUGUGGUGAACAGUAACAAUGAACAAUAUUUUCAGAAAAUUAAUUAAGUUGUUAAUUUUUGGUUUUUAAUUACCUACAUCUAUUUGUAAUAGAUCUAAAUUCCUUUCAAAGCUCGUUGUGAAAGAUUGCGUUUGUUAAUGAUCAACAUAAUUUCUUUUGAUAUUCAUUGGUUAAUUGAAGCAAAAGUCCGAUUAGCUGGUGAGUUUCCUGAUCCAUUUAUUUCUUACAUGCUUGGUUUUGGUAAAAACACAUUUGCUAAAAAAUAGAGAGCUAAAAGACUUGGCUCAGAAUGUCAUAAUUGUGUACGACUUAGUUGCAAACCAGAAGUUUGUAAAUCUUUAGAAAUGAUUUUUGAUAAUCGAGAAGAUAAAAUUAAAUUCGUUAAAGAUGGCAUGAGUAAAGAAUCGUUAGAUGAUAUCUUACGAUCUCUUGAGAUGCAUCGAAGCGGACAUGUGCAAUAUGAGAUACACAAGUUAUGGAGAUUAUUCCAAAAAGAAAGUGCACAAUUUACUCUUACGAAUCUGACUGAAAAAGACUUUGUUUGCCAGUUUAUAAGAAAACUGGAUGGGAAUCAUAUCCUCGACCCAUAGAGGGCGUUCAAGUUGUUACUGGAUAUAAAACCAGAGGAAGAUGUGAGUCAUAAUCACAACUACCAGUAAAUAACAUUUUCUUAUCAUUUGCAUUAUUACAUUUAAUGGUGUGAUUUUGUAUUUAAUCAUUAUUUGUUUUCUUUUACUUUUUUUUUCAUUGUUUGUUUUUCUUUUUACUGUUUGCUUUUGAAAUAUUGAGACAUGAGCUUUACGCGUUAUCUGAAAAAUACACCAACUCAUUUACAAUUGUUCCUCAUUUUGUCUGUCAUUAAGAUCUUUAAAUAUGUGCUCUUUUUCCAACCACUCACAACUUGUUUUUGAAGAUUAUUCUAAUGGCAAUAUCUUUGAGUAGACAAUUCAAAAACAUUUGUGUGCUCUCUGAAUUUCAUUAUGGAAAAUAUAAAUAAUUCGUUCAGGUAGCUAUAAAUUUUAGUCGUGCUAUAGCUGAGAGAAACUGCACCUUGUAUAUAGAGGAGGUGAUUGCGAGUUAUCAAAAUUUGUCUCAAAAACUGUUUUUAUUAGAGAAAAUUAGGUACUAGGUAUCAUUCCACAAGUCUUAAAACCUCUAGAAUGCAUGUCUAACGUACCAAUUGGAGAAGAGUUAGUUGUCUUAAGUAUGCAAGAGCGAAUAUCUGAGAUGUUAAAUCAUGCUGACAGUUUCAUUUUCUUGCCAAGAGAUCUUGAAACUUUAGAGGCACUGAUUACAUUUGUAUCUUGGGCCCAUUUAAACAUCCAUCAGAAACUCAUCGGUUUACUAACUGUAAAUAAUUUUUUUGAUAGGUUGCUCACAAUAAUUAACCAUGCAAUUAAGAAUCAUUUUAUUCCAAUCUCUGCGAAAAAUCUCUUUGUUUGUGCUUCUACUGCUAAUUAGUUACUUGAUAUUUUACAAGCUUAUAAACCAGAGCCAGAUCAUAGGAUCUUGGCAUUGGAAUGGUUGACUAGUGAUGGUAACCCUAGCCCUAGUAUGAAGUACAAGUUGGACUUAACUCUUCGGUUGUAACUAUCUUCUUGGAGCGAUGAGGUAAUGUCUUCUAAACUUUGCUUCUUUCCUUUAAGCAAUUGAGGAUAAUGUCUUAUUCAGGUUGAGGGGAUGAAAUAGUUGACAGCUGUGGAAUAUAGCAAAUUCUAGUAAUGUUUAUGUCGAAAAUGACUGAAUAUGAGGUGUAGCGAAUUUAGAAACGCAUCUUUAGUGGCCUGUUCAGGUGUGAUCUUUCCUAUUUCUUCUUUUAUUAUUUAUGUUUUCUUUAUCUUUUUUGUCUUUUUGCAUACAUAUUUUUAAAUUAUGAAUAAUGUUUAGAUUAGGUUGGGGGGAAGGGGUAGUUGACGUAAAUUGUAAAUAGAUGCGUUUAUUUAUUUAUUUAUUUAAAAAAACCCAAAAAAAUAAAAAAUAAAUAAAUUUUUUAAGUCGUGUCUAUGAUGAUUGUGGAAAGAGUCACAAAUUUUGAAACGCAUCCUAAUAAUCAUGUUGUAUUAUAUUUUAAUUUUAAAAUUCAUAGUAAGUUGUUAUUUUUCCUUUUUUUUUGAAUUACUCAAAUUUGUGAACUCUCUAUUUGGUUAUUAAAUUAUUUUGUUUUUACUCAUUUAACAUAUAUUAUUAAAUCAUUCUUCACACACACACACACUAUGACACAUACUAGUGGAUUGUAAGUUAAAUUUUUUGCAGCAUUUAGUUCUUUUGAUUUACUAGGGAUAAUAUUUAAGGUAGUAGAAAGUGUAUAUUGCAAAAAACAAAAAAAAAAAGAGAAGAAAAAGAAGAAAAUUGAAUGUGUUUAAUUUUAAUAUAUCUAGAACCCGAGUAAUUAAGUCCGUAGGGAUGUUUCAACACCUAGUGCCCUAAGGUCAACUAGUCUAGGAGUCACUGGCCUAAAGCUCGCUACAUGAGUUAAAAAUGUAAUAUUUAAAAAAACAAUUUGAAUAAUCCAUUGCCUGAAGAUAGAAUUUCUAAUGAGUUUUUGAAUGAAAAUGUUGUUUUCUUUUAAUGAAACCCCAUAAGUAUUAUGUUAAUUACUUGAGCACAAAAGAAGGUUUAUAAUUUUCUAGAUAAUGAGUGGACAAACAAGAGUUAGAAAAAUUUGGGAGAGUUUAUUUAUUUGGUAGUUUAGAGAAUAGAUGAACAACUAUUAACUUGCAUGUGAAUUUUGUAAAUCUUGAUUUAAUAUAACACUUUCAUUGCUAGGGGCUAGCAAUAAGCUAGUUGGGGGGUGUGAUUAGUGUUAAAAAUUGUAUGUUUGUUAAGGGGUAAAAAUUUUAUUUUGUGCUAUUAUUGUAAUUUAUAUUUAUAAUUGUGUAACAUAUUGUGAAUUUCUAAUUAUUUUUUAAGUAUUUGAUUUUGUGUAUUUUUUUGUGUUUAUUAGGUAAAAAUAAUAAUUUCAUACAAUUUGAGGCUCCAAACAAAUGUGCGGAUGUCAAAUUUGAAUUCCGAAAAUCCGAGAAAUUAUGUUAUUGUCGAGAAGGAUCCAAGACUUUUGUUGUAAAUUUUUAAGUUUUUACCAUAGUAAAUGUGGUAAUUGUAAAAUUAUAAGUUUUUAUCAUAUUAGGUAUGAUAAUUGUUAGUGGAAUGUGUUGAAUGUGUUUGAGUGGAUUAAGUUAGGUUUAUGUGUUAUUAGUGGAACAAAUGUAAGGUUAAGAUGUAAUUAGAUUUAUUUAUUUGUGUGUUGUGGAUUUACCAUUUAUUAGUAUAAAUAGAGAGGGGGGGGGGGUGACACACAUCUUCACACCUUCUCUUCUCUUCUUUCCCCUCAAAUUCUUCUUCUCAUUUCUCUUUGUAAUAUAUUUUCAAUCAAUAAAAUUAGUUGUAUUUCAAUUUUCAAAUUCUAUUUUUUUAAUUAUGCAUUUUUCAAUUUUAAUAAUUUCCUUUAUUUUAAAAAUGUUUAGCUCAAUAUUAGUAGUUAGGGGAAGGUGAAACUCUUAGUAAAAAUAUGGUUUAAUCAAUUCUAUUUUUAAUUGUACAAAUUAAAUUGUUUUCUAUUUAAUUUUAUCCACAAUUUAUAUUUUGAAAUUUUGAUUUAUUAUAGACAAACAUGGGAGUUUGGCACAAUGAAUUCUUAAUAUCUUGGUAUAAAGUAUGGUAAAAUGAUAUUUUGAUUUAUUGUAGACAAAUUAAGUUUUGGCACAUUAAGUUCUUAAUCCAUAAUAAAAUAAAUGGGAAAAUAACUUUAAUUUAUACAAUUAAUCUUUUGGGAAAUAAAAUAAAAAUAAAAAGAAUUUGUUAAAUUUUAUUUAUUACUAUAAGUGGAUCCAUAACUCUAAGUAAUUCAAUUUCAUAAUUUUUCUUAAAUUAAUUUACAUAUUUUUAAUUUUAAUUUUUUUAUUUUUUGAUAAAUUUAAAUAAAAAAAUUAAAUUUUUUCUUUGUGGAUCGAUCUCGGACUCAUCGAAUUAUAAUAUAACAAGACACUCUUAUACUUAAGAGUUAAAAAUUAUUUUUAAAUCGUGUUAAUAAAAAAGACUUUUACCAAAAGUUACCCUGCUUAAUUGCUUUUAUUUUUUCACUCUUUUGAAUCGGCCUAAAUUUUAUUUUUAAGUAAAUAUCAGUACGAUUUAACAGAUUACAUAUUAGAAACAAUGAAGGCUGCAAGCUGUCGUCAGUAAAAUUUGAAUAGACAUUUAUCAGAAGUUGUAUAAUAUUCUUUUUCUUUUUAUCAACCAAAUGGGUAAAAACCUUAUUGAAAAAAGAAAAAAGAAAAAUAAAAAGACAGAAAACAAACAGACAUGACAUUUAGAUAAGAGACUCGUGAACCUUCCCAGCACCCCCCGCCACAAAAGAUGGAGAACAAAAGAUAUUUAAAUCCCCACUAGAAAUCUCAUUCGUCCAAUACAUCUUGUACGUAGCGCAGGGACUAAUUUGUCACAGUCAUGCCUUUAUUUAUAUAAAGCUAGAGAGAAACUAACGAUCAUUUCUUUACCAAGGAAAUGAGUAGACUUGCAUAAGCUCCUCGCCCCUUGUCCAAAACCUCGUCAGUCACCUUGGUUGCAAAUCUACGAUGGAUCUCGUCCACGGUGGCAUCAUCGAAAAGAUUAGCCAGAAAUGAUUCUCCCACUGCUCUUACAUGCUUUGUCACAUACUUGCCUCUUGCGUAUUUGUCUGAGCCUUUGUUAUCUACGCCGUCGACAAAGCCUACCAACCAACUUACGUUGAAUGUUUCAACCUCUUGGAUAUCAAACGAUCCUUCUCUUUUAACAAUUUGCUUUACUUCGUCAACACUUGCUCUAUAGACCGGAAAAUCCUCGAAUGAUUUCACUUUUGAUUCUUCAGCCAACCCCUGAAAUGCAUGAAAUAAUUAAAACCAAAAGAAAAAGAGAUUGUCCAUUAUCUAUUAGUCAUAUAUAUAUACACACACACAAAAUUAGUUUUUAAUAUGUCUCAGGAGAGAGAAAGUACCUCAGAGAUCAUGUCUUUUAAUACCAUCAACAUUGGCUCUCCAGGAGUAGCAUGAUAAUUGUCAUUAUAUAGAAGGGUGAGAACCAUACGACCUUGGGGUUUCAACUCCUCAGAUCGAAAUUUGAGAAAUGUUGAGAAAUCGCUCUCAAAUUGAUUCAGGAAUGCUUUAUGGACAUCAGAUUCAUUCCCCUGGCCUUUAGGCAUCUGAAAAAGCAUUAAACCGAGGGAAAUGAUAAGCCAAGAUGAUUGAUAAAUUCUUGAAUUUCAAAUUGCUUUCGUUGUUGAUCUGAAUAUGCACGGCUCUAAAUAUACACUUGCCAGAAAAUUAUUAAGAGAUUAUUGGUGAAAAGAAAUACUAAUGAACAUGGGAUCCCAAUUCUUACCUUAGAGAGCCAGUGGAGAGCGUAAGAAGAGUAAACCAAGUCAAGGAAAUUGGGAGGAAAUAGCCUCGUAUAGAAAGAUCCAGGGCUUGCAGCUACGAAACAUGAACCAAAUUCAUGUCCCUUUUCUGUCUUCAGUCUCUCAUAGAAGCUUGGCAGGGAUUUGAAAACGGUGUUGAAAUCACUUCUAGGAAGAUCAUUGAGAAAAGAAUGCAAAACGGGUGGCUUACGAUUCAAGCGAUGACAAAUCUUGUCCAGGGAAUCAAUAGCUUCCCAUGUUGGCAACAAUGCAUUAGGCCCUGAAGAGCAUCCCAUAUCUGCAAAUCUUAUGCAGUCUGGGAAGCCGUUGCAAUACAGUUCAUUCAAGCUUUGUUCUAGCAUAGGCUUUGCUUUCAAGAUUGCUUCUUUCUGAAAAUAAUAUAAGAAAUUAAGCAGAUGCAUGGUUUGAUAACUUUGUUGAUCACUGAAGCUUGUGAAUCGAAAAAGAGAGAUUUAUUACCUGUGUAGGUGAGUUGUUAGCAUAGCUAUUUUCUCCUUCUCCUUCAUUCAUGCGCAGAAUCUGCUCUACCUCCAUUGCUGCGUUAUCUGCUUCUCUAUCGGCUCAAUCCUGGCGACUAUGAUUAAAUACCAAGGCCUUCAAAUUAAUAUCAUUAGUUCAAAUUCAUGGAAAUGUUUCUGGCAGCGACAUGGAUUGACCAUUGACUGUGAUAUUAGUGGCUGCUGCAAUUCUUUGACCGCAUCUUGGCACAAUUUCUAGCAAAUG
rnacentral:lncRNA from 1 species